GGGUGCAUGGUCUAGUGGUAUGAUUUUCGCUUCGCAUUUCGUGCAUGUGAACGGUCCCCGGUUCGAUCCCGGGUGCAUCCA